rnacentral:rRNA from 1 species
UUACACCUACGGGGGGCAGCAGUGGGGAAUAUUGGGCAAUGGGCGCAAGCCUGACCCAGCAACGCCGCGUGAAGGAAGAAGGCUUUCGGGUUGUAAACUUCUUUUAUGAGGGACGAAACAAAUGACGGUACCUCAUGAAUAAGCCACGGCUAACUACGUGCCAGCAGCCGCGGUAAUACGUAGGUGGCAAGCGUUAUCCGGAUUUACUGGGUGUAAAGGGCGUGUAGGCGGGACUUCAAGUCAGAUGUGAAAAUUAUGGGCUCAACCCAUAACCUGCAUUUGAAACUGACAUUCUU